AAGCGAUCCUCUCAUUUCAGUUUCCUGAGUAGCUACAGGAAUUUGCCCUUCAGAUACCCUGUGGCAGUAUGAACAUGGACGCUCACUGUGGCAAGAUUUGUAACAGCCAUAAACUAGAAGCUGGGGAGGUAAGCGAUGAUGCAUCUAUAUAAUGAAAUCUUAUACCGUUGUCUGAAUGAGACAGAUUUUAUGGGAAAAGCAGGCCAAUUUACGUUAUUAAAUUAAGACAAAAAUGCAAAACUAG